CGGAGAUAAAAACACAGUCCGGUUGGUAGUCCGGGCGUACCCCGCGGGGUAUCAGUAACCUGCCUCCUUGGUUGUCCGUUCUCCG
rnacentral:ncRNA from 1 species